rnacentral:misc_RNA from 1 species
CCAAUUUUAUAUACUAGUGUGUAUGCCGCUGUCAAAGGUGGUACUACACUACUACUAUUAUGUAAACGUUGAACUAGAUCAAUUGGUGUGGAUUGCUUGGGAAUGGACGAAGCGACAAGCCUCUUCCGGACAGGCAAACCCCACACUGAUAACCCUUUUCAAUAUAAUUUACUAGUACAUACUACAAACAAACAAAAGCUAUAAUAGGACUUAUAAACAGGCUGAGUGGGUAAAAUCCUCGGCUUAACCAAUAUAACUAUUA